UGGGGAAUAUUGGACAAUGGGGGCAACCCUGAUCCAGCAAUGCCGCGUGAAUGAUGAAGGCCUUCGGGUUGUAAAGUUCUUUUAUUGAUGAAGAUAAUGACGGUAAUCAAUGAAUAAGCACCGGCUAACUUCGUGCCAGCAGCCGCGGUAAUACGAAGGGUGCUAGCGUUGUUCGGAAUGACUGGGCGUAAAGGGCGCGUAGGCGGCGAGAUACGUCUGAUGUGAAAUCCCCGGGCUUAACCUGGGAACAGCAUUGGAUACGGUUUUGCUAGAGUCCGCGAGAGGAAGAUGGAAUUGUGCGUGUAGAGGUGAAAUUCGUAGAGAUGCACAAGAACACCGGUGGCGAAGGCGAUCUUCUGGAGCGGUACUGACGCUAAGGCGCGAAAGCGUGGGGAGCAAACAGG
rnacentral:rRNA from 1 species